UUGGAAACAUUGCUUCCCGUACGAUCACCGAAGUUAAGUAACGUCGAGCCUGGUCAGUAACUAGAUGGGUAACUGCUUGUAAAUACCAGGUGCUGUAAG